UACGGGGGGGGCAAGCGUUGUUCGGAUUUACUGGGCGUAAAGGGCGCGUAGGCGGCAAUUCAAGUCAUCUGUGAAAUCUCCGGGCUUAACUCGGAACGGUCAGAUGAUACUGCUUUGCUAGAGUGCGGAAGGGGCAAUCGGAAUUCUUGGUGUAGCGGUGAAAUGCGUAGAUAUCAAGAGGAACACCUGAGGUGAAGACGGGUUGCUGGGCCGACACUGACGCUGAUGCGCGAAAGCCAGGGGAGCAAACGGG
rnacentral:rRNA from 1 species